AUGCUUUUACCGGUAUAUAGGAGCAGUAAUAACUGAGAGCAAAUCAUUCGUUUAUUAAUUAGGCCCUGUUUGGAUGCAUAGUUAAAAAAUUUUAAAAAAUUUUUAUUUUAUGGUUUUAGAGGUUUUAGUCUGAAUGAAAUAUGAAAUUCUGUAACUAUAAAAAAAUUCCAUAGCAUUAUUUUUAACCUGUUUGGAUACAUAUCAUACAAUUCCAUAAUAUUUAUAACAAUUAAAUUUCUAAAAUUUUAAAAUUUAAAAUUCAAAACUCAAAAUUCAAAAUUUAAAAAUAAAAUUUUAAAAAUUAAAAUUCAAAAUUCAAAAUAUAAAAUUAAAAUUAAAAAUUAAAAUUAAAAAAUUAAAUUAGAUUUUAUGUUUUAAAUUUGAAAUUUGGAAUUUGGAAUUUAAAAUUUAAAUUUUGAAAUUUGAAAAUUUAAAUUUUAAAAUUUAAAGUAUACCAUUUAAAAUUUAAAAAAUGUAUAAUUAAAAUUUUAAAUUUUAAAUUUAAUAAUUUAUAAAUUUACAUAUUUAUAAAUUUAAAUUUUAAAAUUUAAGUUUAAAUU
rnacentral:lncRNA from 1 species